AGGUCACUGCUAUCGGGGUUCGAUUAAGCCAUGCGAGUCGAGAGGGUUCGGCCCUCGGCGUACUGCUCAGUAACACGUGGAUAACCUGCCCUAAGGAAGGGGAUAACCCCGGGAAACUGGGGAUAAUACCCUAUAGGUUACAGAUGCUGGAAUGCUUUGUAACCCAAAGUUCCGACGCCUUAGGAUGGAUCUGCGGCCGAUUAGGUUGUUGUUGGGGUAAUGGCCCAACAAGCCCGUAAUCGGUACGGGUUGUGGGAGCAAGAGCCCGGAGUUGGAUUCUGAGACACGAAUCCAGGCCCUACGGGGCGCAGCAGGCGCGAAAACUUUACAAUGCGGGCAACCGUGAUAAGGGAACCUCGAGUGCCUGUAUAUGCAGGCUGUCCAGGUGUCUAAAAAACACUUGAAGAAAGGGCCGGGCAAGACCGGUGCCAGCCGCCGCGGUAAUACCGGCGGCUCGAGUGGUGGCCGCUUUUAUUGGGCUUAAAGCGUUCGUAGCUGGUUUGUUAAGUCUCUUGGGAAAUCUGACGGCUCAACCGUCAGGCGUCUAAGGGAUACUGGCAAUCUUGGAACCGGGAGAGGUGAGGGGUACUUCGGGGGUAGGAGUGAAAUCCUGUAAUCCUCGAGGGACCACCUGUGGCGAAGGCGCCUCACCAGAACGGCUUCGACAGUGAGGGACGAAAGCUGGGGGAGCAAACCGGAUUAGAUACCCGGGUAGUCCCAGCCGUAAACGAUGUGCGUUAGGUGUAUCGACGACCACGAGUCGUCGAGGUGCCGAAGGGAAACCGUGAAACGUACCGCCUGGGAAGUACGGUCGCAAGGCUGAAACUUAAAGGAAUUGGCGGGGGAGCACCACAACAGGUGGAGCCUGCGGUUUAAUUGGACUCAACGCCGGAAAUCUCACCGGAUAAGACAGCGGAAUGAUUGCCGGGCUGAAGACUCUGCAUGACUAGCUGAGAGGAGGUGCAUGGACGUCGUCAGUUCGUACUGUGAAGCAUCCUGUUAAGUCAGGCAACGAGCGAGACCCACGCCAACAGUUGCCAGCAUGGUCUCCGGACUGAUGGGGACACUGUUGGGACCGCCUCUGCUAAAGAGGAGGAAGGAUGGGCAACGGUAGGUCUGCAUGCCCCGAAUUAUCCGGGCUACACGCGGGCUACAAUGGGCAGGACAAUGGGUAUCGACACCGAAAGGUGAAGGCAAUCUCCUAAACCUGUCCGUAGUUCGGAUUGUGGGCUGUAACUCGCCCACAUGAAGCUGGAAUCUGUAGUAAUCGCGUUUCAACAUAACGCGGUGAAUGUGUCCCUGCUCCUUGCACACACCGCCCGUCAAACCACCCGAGUGGGGUUUGGAUGAGGCUGCGGUCGUUGCCGCAGUCGAAUCUAGGUUCCGCAAGGGGGGUU
rnacentral:rRNA from 1 species